AGCGAGGCUACUGUUGCAGCUAAU
rnacentral:siRNA from 1 species